UGUCUUCUCAUAUUGACCAAUGAAGGA
rnacentral:piRNA from 1 species